GACGAACGCUGGCGGCGUGCUUAACACAUGCAAGUCGAACGGAAAGGCCCCCAUCUUGGUGGGGGUGCUCGAGUGGCGAACGGGUGAGUAACACGUGGGUGAUCUGCCCUGUACUUCGGGAUAAGCUUGGGAAACUGGGUCUAAUACCGGAUAGGACCAUGGUUUAGUGUCUCAUGGUGGAAAGAUCAUUGUUUUGGUGCAGGAUGAGCUCGCGGCCUAUCAGCUUGUUGGUGGGGUAAUGGCCUACAAAGGCGGCGACGGGUAGCCGGCCGGCGAGGGUGGACGGCGAAAUUGGGACUGAGACACGGCCCAGACGCGUGCGGGAGGCAGCAGUGGGGAAGAUAGGACAGUGGGCGUAAGCCUGAAGCGGCGACGGAGCGGGGGGGAUGACGGCCUUCGGGUGGUAAGCUCCUUGCGUUAGGGACGAAGCCACGCUUUUGGGGUGUGGUGACGGUACCUUUGUGAAGAAGCACCGGCUAACUACGUG
rnacentral:rRNA from 1 species